AUUGAACGCUGGCGGCAGGCCUAACACAUGCAAGUCGAGCGGAUGAAGGGAGCUUGCUCCUGGAUUCAGCGGCGGACGGGUGAGUAAUGCCUAGGAAUCUGCCUGGUAGUGGGGGAUAACGUCCGGAAACGGGCGCUAAUACCGCAUACGUCCUGAGGGAGAAAGUGGGGGAUCUUCGGACCUCACGCUAUCAGAUGAGCCGAGGUCGGAUUAGCUAGUUGGUGGGGUAAAGGCCGACCAAGGCGACGAUCCGUAACUGGUCUGAGAGGAUGAUCAGUCACACUGGAACUGAGACACGGUCCAGACUCCUACGGGAGGCAGCAGUGGGGAAUAUUGGACAAUGGGCGAAAGCCUGAUCCAGCCAUGCCGCGUGUGUGAAGAAGGUCUUCGGAUUGUAAAGCACUUUAAGUUGGGAGGAAGGGCAGUAAGUUAAUACCUUGCUGUUUUGACGUUACCAACAGAAUAAGCACCGGCUAACUUCGUG
rnacentral:rRNA from 1 species